CUACUCCAGUUAUACACGUGGAGCUAACUGCACCAGUAGCUUUUCUGAAGAUACUUGCUGAAAAGGAAGUUUUCUGGAAUGGUAUUCGCUAAGUGGAAGCCAGAAGAAGAGGAAAAUGUUUUGCCACGUGGAUGUGAAGACUUCCUCUAAAAGGUACACAUGGACUAAAUUGCCCUUAAAUGUUCCAAAAUUAGUUCUCAUUUAUUUGCAGUCUCAUUUUGUUUUGUUUUGUUUUUGUUUUUUUUCUCUAUGUAUCAAUCCAUUUGGGAGAGGCCAGCCAUUGGAAGAGCCACCACUUCCAGUGCUAGUUGGAUGGUUGGUUAUGAUUGCCUUCUGUAAAGAAUUCUUGAGGCAUAAAUACGUGUCUAAAUGGACCUCAUAUCUUUGAGAUAAUUAAACUAACUUUCUCUUACCCAUUCGGGAUUAUGCUGAAUUUGUAUGGUUUAUAGUUGUUAGAGUUGGAGGUGUUAAUUCUAAUUAUCUAUUUCAAAUUUAGCAGGAAUAAAGAGAACAUCACCUUGUAAAACUGAAGAUUGUGACCAGUCAGAAUAAUGUCAAAGUGCUUACAGUGCAGGUAGUGAUAUGUGCAUCUACUGCAGUGAAGGCACUUGUAGCAUUAUGGUGACAGUUGCCUCGGGAAGCCAAGUUGGGCUUUAAAGUGCAGGGCCUGCUGCUGUUGAGUGCUUUUUGUUCUAAGGUGCAUCUAGUGCAGAUAGUGAAGUAGAUUAGCAUCUACUGCCCUAAGUGCUCCUUCUGGCAUAAGAAGUUAUGUAUUCAUCCAAUAAUUCAAGUCAAGCAAGUAUAUAGGUGUUUUAAUAGUUUUUGUUUGCAGUCCUCUGUUAGUUUUGCAUAGUUGCACUACAAGAAGAAUGUAGUUGUGCAAAUCUAUGCAAAACUGAUGGUGGCCUGCUAUUUCCUUCAAAUGAAUGAUUUUUACUAAUUUUGUGUACUUUUAUUGUGUCGAUGUAGAAUCUGCCUGGUGUAUCUGAUGUGACAGCUUCUGUAGCACUAAAGUGCUUAUAGUGCAGGUAGUGUUUAGUUAUCUACUGCAUUAUGAGCACUUAAAGUACUGCUAGCUGUAGAACUCCAGCUUCGGCCUGUCGCCCAAUCAAACUGUCCUGUUACUGAACACUGUUCUAUGGUUAGUUUUGCAGGUUUGCAUCCAGCUGUGUGAUAUUCUGCUGUGCAAAUCCAUGCAAAACUGACUGUGGUAGUGAAAAGUCUGUAGAAAAGUAAGGGAAACUCAAACCCCUUUCUACACAGGUUGGGAUCGGUUGCAAUGCUGUGUUUCUCUCUGGUAUUGCACUUGUCCCGGCCUGUUGAGUUUGGUGGGGAUUGUGACCAGAAGAUUUUGAAAAUUAAAUAUUACUGAAGAUUCCGACUUCCACUGUUAAAUGUUCAAGAGAUGUGAAAUAUUAAAGAAAAUGUGUAACUUUUUGUUUAAGUACAUCUUGUUUUCAUCCAAAAACAUUUCACUUUUGGGUUUGCAUGUCAGAUUUGGCAGUAUGAAUUCUGGUUAUAUUUUUUGUUGUUAGAUUUAUUUGGCUGUUAAGUAUUGCGAUGUGACUAAACGUAUUAUAUACAUGAUGAUCAUCUGUAAAGUUAGAAUAUAACUUUUUUGCUCUCUUUGGAGUUAGUGUUAUUCCAGGAUAUUUUACUUAAUCUAAAAGUUAAUCUAUGUUGCUCAUAUAUUACUCAGGUUUUUUAAUUUAGAGAGAAUGCUGCUCUGUUUAAAGCAAUGUGUAAAGAUGGGUUUUUUAAAGCAUGGAAUUUAGGGUGGGUACAGUUUGUUUCUAUUAAGCAGGUUCUACUUUACCAAUACAUGAGUAACUGAUGUGUAAAUGUUAAAUGCUCGUAUACUAGUUUUUCUUUGAUUGUCAGUGAUUUAUAAGCUGUAAAUGACCAAGGUCCUCAGACUGCUUUUAGCAUCUGCAACUUAAAAAAAUGGGAGUUAGAAAAAGAACACACUCAUGCUAAAUAGAGUAACAGAUAAAUGUAUGUGUACACUCUUCCUAAAUGCCAAGAGUGCAGCGGUGGGGCGAGAUUCAGAUACUGAUUUAUUUCUAAGACUGUAGUUAACAUUUAGGUUCCCUGCUCCCUACAUAAACCAGACUUUGGCAACAGUGAUAGUUGAUUCCAGGCUUACUUGACUUAGUCACUGAAGUGGAAACUAAGAAACGGCAGUUAGUGUUUUAUCCAACAUUUCUGCCUUCUCUCUUUUCUUCGUGUGUGUUGUCUCUCACCUAUGUGUAUAUGUGUCAAAAAAUGUGGAAUACCUGAAUAAUAGAUUUAAAAGAACCAAGUGGUAAAAUUGGACCCAAGCCGAAGUACAGGCAAACUUGAUACUUAAAAAAUAAGGUUUGAGAAAUGUCAUUGUAUUUUGGAGUAAAAGAGGCUAUCUUAGUAAUAAGAAAUAAACUUCCAUAACACUAGGUUAGACCACCCAAUAAAUCUAGAAAUUAGCUUUUAAAAAUACUGUGUGAAGUCUAACAAAAGUUUUUACCUCUAAUGUGUUCUUAAAGAAAUUUAAGGAACUUCAUCUUGGAUUCCUGAAUAGAAAGGUAAGAAUUCCAUCAUUCUGGAGUUGAUGAAAAGAUUUGCAGGAUGAAAUGAACAGUGAUUUAUAAAAUGGAAAUCAAAUUGUACAUUAGCAGAGUUCUUAAGCUUUUUGAAUUGAAGGAGACCUAAUAAUUGUGUCUUUUUGGUUAUUUUGGUGACAAACACAGCUUUAAAACUAUGCUUAAAAAGUUGCAGCUGGACACAGUGGCUCACCCCUACAAUCCUAGCACUUUGGGAGACUGAGGCAGGCGAAUUACCAGAGGUCAGGAGUUGGAGACCAACCUGGCCGUCGUGGUCAAACGCUGUCUCUACUAAAAAUAUAAAAAAUUAGCCAGGUGCAGUGGCACGUGCCUGUAAUCCCAGCUAUACUCUGGAGGCUGAGGCAGGAGAAUCACUUGAACUGGGGAGGCGGAGGUUUCAGUGAGCUGAGAUCCUGCCACUGCACUCCAUCCUGGGCGGAAGAGCGAGACUUCGUCUCCAGAAAAAAAAAAAAAAAAUCGUAAUACAGCAUGUUCUGGUAGUUUGCAAAAUGGUGUGCUGUGGUUAUAAGUGAGGAAAGUAUUUUGUUUUACAUUUGUCAGACUAUGUCAUUUUACUUCAAAGCUUUUGGGGAAAUACACUGGCAAUUUUUUAAAAAAUGGAACAGUGUGAUAGGAAGCCUGCUUCAUGAUUCCUUAAAUAGUCUAAAAUGUAGUCAAAUAUGUUACAAUAACAAAGACUUAAAUGGCUUUUCUCCCUAGAUACUGAAACUGUAGUAUUCAUCGUGUUCAGAACUUACUUGGGCUUGAACUGAGAUUUAAAUCUAAUCAGCAAGUUAAUAAAUGUGUAUGUUUUGUUGUGGGAUUGGUAGUGAUCAGUGGUUUUAUAGAGUUUAAUAGGAAUUGCUUUUGAUUUGUUUCUGGCUUUAGAAUGUGAGUCUAAUUUUACAUUCUUGGUUCUAUUAAGAUUUUCUUAGGAAUGCCAACAAAAAGCCAUGUAAGUAUUGUAUAAAAAGAUUCACAUUAUUAAUUUACCCAUUUUGAAAUUCAGAUGAGUGAACAAGUUAAUAAUGGCCUUAUCUCUGACCUGAGAAAAAACAGUUUUGACUCUUGUUCUUAAAAUGCUUUAACCUUGAAGUUGCUUGAUACUUAAGAGGUCAUGUUGCUUCAGGUUUAAUAGAUAGCCUUAACUAUUUGGAGGGGAAAAAAAUGGGUCAACUUUUUUUUUUUUUUUUUUUUUUUGGCUUUUGCAUGUACAACUUUCUAUUUUUAGCCUAUAUUUGGAAAGAAAGCACUUAACAUUUUAGGAAUUCUUUUUAAAGCUGCUUGCAAAGUAUUGGUGAUUUUACUGAAAACUUUUGAGAUCUUCAUUUUACAGGCAAACCUAACUACAAGCCAGACUUGGGUUUUCUCCUGUAGUUUGAAGACACACUGACUCCUGACAAUGCAACCUGCAACUUCUGGAGAACAACUCAGUGUCACAUUAAAGUUUAUUAUGUAUUUGAUGAUACACUGUUGAAUUGAUACUUCUGCAUAGUUUGUCUAGCUUUAGAGAAUUAAGAGUCUCAACUGAGCAGUAAAGGUAAGGAGAGCUUAAUACACACGGAGCCAGGCUUUGGUGUUUGGUGGAAAUAAGAUCAUCAUGCCCACUUGAGAUUUCAGAUGAUUAUUCAGCUUAGUGGUUGUGUGAGUUACAUUCUUACUAAAGUCGAAAUUAAUGUAGUUUUCGGCCUUGAUAAAUUAAAUUCCAUAUGUGGUAUUUUAAAGGGUCAUUAGGAAAAUGCACAUAUUCCAUAAAUAAGACCCAUAGAAAAGUUGAAGAAUGCUUAAUUUUCUUUAUCCAAUAAUGUAAACACAGACACAACAUUGAGAUGUGCCUAAUUCUGUAUUUACAGUUUGGUCUGGCUGUUGGAGUUGUAGUGCAUUUAAUGUUAAUAAAUAAAAUACUGCAUUUUAAAGCUGUUAAGAAAUUGUCUGGAACGAGCAUAUUGAAAUAAAAACUUCAAGGUUAUUAUC